rnacentral:rRNA from 1 species
UACGUAGGGUGCGAGCGUUGUCCGGAAUUAUUGGGCGUAAAGGGCUCGUAGGCGGUCUGUUGCGUCAGGAGUGAAAACUCGGGGCUUAACCCCGAGCCUGCUUCUGAUACGGGCAGACUAGAGGUAUGCAGGGGAGAACGGAAUUCCUGGUGUAGCGGUGAAAUGCGCAGAUAUCAGGAGGAACACCGGUGGCGAAGGCGGUUCUCUGGGCAUUACCUGACACUGAGGAACGAAAGCCAGGGGAGCAAACGGG